rnacentral:rRNA from 1 species
GAUGAACGCUGGCGGCGUGCCUAACACAUGCAAGUCGAGCGAUUCUCUUCGGAGAAGAGCGGCGGACGGGUGAGUAACGCGUGGGUAACCUGCCCUGUACACACGGAUAACAUACCGAAAGGGAUGCUAAUACGAGAUAAUAUACUUUUAUCGCAUGGUAGGAGUAUCAAAGCUUUUGCGGUACAGGAUGGACCCGCGUCUGAUUAGCGAGUUGGUAAGGUAACGGCUUACCAAGGCGACGAUCAGUAGCCGACCUGAGAGGGUGAUCGGCCACACUGGAACUGAGACACGGUCCAAACUCCUACGGGAGGCAGCAGUGGGGAAUAUUGCACAAUGGGCGAAAGCCUGAUGCAGCAACGCCGCGUGGGCGAUGAAGGCCUUCGGGUCGUAAAGCUCUGUCCUCAAGGAAGAUAAUGACGGUACUUGAGGAGGAAGCCCCGGCUAACUACGUGCCAGCCGCCGCAGUAA